GUGGCCGCAGUGACAGCCACCUGCAUUAAUUAUGAGAGAAUGCAUCUUUUCUGAAAUCUUCAAAUCCCAAACCAGAGACAGAGGCUAGAGUACAAUAAUAUUUCAUUCUAGCUGGGACAGUCGGCCUCAACCACAGCUCCAGGAAGGAAAUAGUGAAACCAAUGCCGCCAUUCAGUUGAAAGCGAGGAGAAAAUACUAGUGCGUGGAAGACAAUUCACCGUGCGGGCUCUGUCUGUGUCUGAGGCAGUCCCUGGAGCUGAGGCAAAGCAACCAGAGGGAGAACCCACAGGAAAGAGCAGGAAGUGAUUCCUCUUCUGUCCUACACAAGCCCUCACUGCAUUAUGGACUCUGUUUCCAGGGUGACUUCUGCUCUGGGAUUGGACUUCAUGUUCAGGGAGAGAUAUUUUUUCCUUCAUGUGAAGAAGCAGAGACCCACUUAAGGACUGCAUGGGCCCUAAGUCAUUUCAGAGAGUUGAUGACUUGAUAGGGUCAUUGAGGAAAAAAAAAGAAAAAUGCUGCCCAGGAUGAAGUAUGAGACUAGUGACAAGACAACGUGAUACUUUUCUCCACUGUUAAGCCAUGUUUGAUAUUUUCCUUUUAGGAGAAAGAAAGAAGCAUGUGGCUCCUGAGUUAAGGAGUCCUUCAUGCCCUUAUGCUGGAGCUCCUGCCUUCUUGAGCUUUCAGAUGCAAAUGUCUUCUCUAAGGCUGACUCCUAAGCAGCUUCAGCAGAAGAGCAGAUGGGCCAUUACUACCUCCUGAACAUGGUGGCAGCUGGCACCAGGGAACUCCAUAGUCAGAACACUUUUUGUCUGUAUUCCUGCAAGCUCUAGGUCUGACACAGAUGUCAUAAGACAAGUAAGACCAUCACAUUCCUGGUGCCAAUGGAGAGACAGGCACAUAGUAGGUGCUCACAGCUUUUUAAUACCUUCCUGUUGCUUAUAGCAUAGUAAGAGCACUGACAGCAACAGCCACCAGCAUUUGCUGAGUACAGUUAUGGGCUGGCACAGUUCUGUAUGCAUUGUACGUAUUAUUCAUUUAAUGUUCUCGGCAUCUUUGUGAGGAAGACCCCUAGCCACAUGUGACAGAUAAGGAAAUCGAGGCACAGAAAGGUUAAAUACUUUGUGUUAGGCCACACAGCUACUAAGUGGUGGUGCCAGCAUUUGAAAAUGGGUGAAGUCCAAGCAUCUGGUUGUGAGGUGCAAAGUCUUUUUCAGCAGCCUCUGCUUCCUCCCUGGCCUCCAUUCUUGACAUGCCCUAUCGUGUGUUCCAGUAACAGCUCUGCACCUCUCUCCAUCUCCCUCCACUGUCUUUUUCACCUCACCAUCCUCCCUCAGCUUCACUGCACCCUUCUCCUGCCUAAUACCUACUUCUCUUUCCAGAUUCAUUUGACCUGCCACCUCCUCUUGGAAGACCUCCCUGAUGUGCAUGCCCUAAGUCCCCAAGGCUGAAUUAGGUGCCCCUCUUUUGUGCUUCCAUGGCAACAUUUGUAUAACCCAAUCAUUGCACACAUUGCAUGUGUUAUUCCAGGGCAUUUAUUUUCUCCCACACAUGACUAUGGUUUCCUAAGGACCACAAUGAUGUCUUAUCCAUCACACUGUCACCAGUAUGUGGUAGUUAGUUUGGCACUUGGUCAUUGUUUGUUGACUUGGGAACUUUUUCUAUAAGGAACCAGAGAAUAUUUUAGACUUUGCAGACCACAUGCAAACUCUUCUUCUCCUUCUCCUCCUCCUACUCUUCCAACCCUUUAAAAAUGUUUUUUUUUUUUAAAAAAAAAAAAAGCAACAACAACAGCAACAACAAAAACCAGUCUUAGCUUGAGAGUCAUAUAAAACCAGCUCUGGAUCAAAUUCUGCUUGCAGUUAGUAGUUUGCUGACUCUGCUGUCAUUGGGUAAGAUGUUUCUAAACAAAACAAUUCCUAGUCAAACUAACUCAGUGAUUCUCAAACUGAGGGGUAUGGAGAUGGGUGUAUGUUUUUUGUCAUCACAAUGGAUGGGGUGGAGGCUAGCAAUGCUUACUGCCCAGGAACCAAGGAUGCUGUGCCCCAAGGAAGCACAAGUAGCAGUGUGCAGCGGAGUCCCCCAAAACUGCCACAGGAACUCACUGAAGAGAAUGGGCUGGCUGUUUGCUGGUUUUCUUGUGCUACUUUCUGGUAACAAUAAACUGCUUUGGGAACUCA